rnacentral:rRNA from 1 species
GAUGAACGCUGGCGGCGUGCCUAAUACAUGCAAGUCGAGCGAACAGACGAGGAGCUUGCUCCUCUGACGUUAGCGGCGGACGGGUGAGUAACACGUGGAUAACCUACCUAUAAGACUGGGAUAACUUCGGGAAACCGGAGCUAAUACCGGAUAAUAUAUUAAACCGCAUGGUUCAAUAGUGAAAGCCGGUUUUGCUGUCACUUAUAGAUUGAUCCGCGCCGCAUUAGCUAGUUGGUAAGGUAACGGCUUACCAAGGCAACGAUGCGUAGCCGACCUGAGAGGGUGAUCGGCCACACUGGAACUGAGACACGGUCCAGACUCCUACGGGAGGCAGCAGUAGGGAAUCUUCCGCAAUGGGCGAAAGCUUGACGGAGCAACGCCGCGUGAGUGAUGAAGGUCUUCGGAUCGUAAAACUCUGUUAUUAGGGAAGAACAAAUGUGUAAGUAACUAUGCACGUCUUGACGGUACCUAAUCAGAAAGCCACGGCUAACUACGUG